AUGUGUUAUAUGAUGAUUAGUUUUCCAAUGCAUAGUUCAUCUGACUAUUGAUGAUGAAAAAUUAUCCUUCAAUAUAGUCUUUCGCUCCCAUCUGAUCGCACAA
rnacentral:snoRNA from 1 species